rnacentral:lncRNA from 1 species
UAAUUGAUAUUUAUCUUCCUCUCAAAUUUUCACCUUCAUCAUUAAAAAAAGAUAAAUGAAUACAAUUUGUGUUUAUAUAAUCUGUAUAAAAAUAAGUUAUAUAUAUAUUAUAUAUAUAGUCAAAGUUCAGGUUUGAAAUAUUAAAAUCAUAAUUAUGUUUUUAAAAAAAUAUUCUUAUUUUUAUUUUUUCAUGAAAUGAAGGACAAAAUUACAUAGAAAAUACUUCCUUAGUUUUAUGUGAUAAAACUUUAUUUGAUAGAACCCACCUUUGUAAAGAUUUUUAUUUUCAUAAUGAACAUUCUCCUUUUUCCUUAGUGCUCAAAUAGUUGAUGUAUAAACUUAAAAAAUGCAUUUUUGUCAAAUCAUGAAAUUAGAUACUCAUGUUUAGUUGAGAAUAUGUGAUCAUUUGUGAGUGAGUUGGAAACACUUGCUCUAGUCAAGAGAGAUUUUUGCCAAGUUUCAUAUGAUUAAAAGCACAGGAACAAAAAUUUUGUUAAAUAUGAUUUUCUGUUUUGUUUUUGUAUGUUUUUAUUGUACUGCUUUUUUGUAAAUGAAAUAUUAAUGGGAAGUGAAGAAUAUAUGUGUAUUUAUAAGACUGAUUAAAUCAAUUUAAGAUUAUUAUGUAAUUAUGAAAUAUGAAAAGUAUAAAGCCAAGUUUAUUAUACAAAACAACUACAGCAAAUAAAAGUUAAAAUUAAAUUGAAGAAUGCAUGGCAUUGUUCAAUGCCACAUUGCAUAAGUGUCUUAAAAAAAGCAUUAAUAGUCUAUCCUAUGUUGAAGCAAUUUUGUUUGUUAAUUUAGGUUAAAUGAUAAAUAGAUUAUUUCAAAGUUAUUUAAUUCUUAUCACAAACUAUAUUAAAAAAAAAAGAAUAUGAAUUGCAAAUAAUUCUUCUAAUUAAAAAUGAAAUGUAUACUGCUGAUAUAAAUUAUUAUACAUAUGUAUUUAGAAUAUUGAACCAAUAAUUAUCUAAAAUAUUAAAUGUGAUAAUAAAAAUUCUCAGAACCAAGUUGAAAGACUGAAAAUAUGAAAUGAAAUAUUUGCUGAUUAAGGGGAGAUAAAUCCUAAUGAUUUUUAGUGCAAUUAAACAAAAUGUACAGAUUUAUGAUAUGAGUUUGUGUAUUUGUAUAUUGAAAUGACAUUUGUAGAUAUACAGUUGACUAUGCAAAAGCUUAAUUAUUUAUACAUACAUGUAGCUUUUAUUUUGUAAUCUUUGUUUUGUAAUUGUAUCAAACUUUCAAGUAUUAAAAAUUAUAGAAUUAAAAAAAGUCUGCACUUCGAAAAAUAAUCUUGAUUUUUCAUUUUUUUUUUUAUCAAAAAUAAAAAUACAAAGAUCUUGUGUUAUGGAAAUAAAUAGUAUGUACAUUUUUUGUCAAGCAUCCAGUUCCUUCUUAAGUUGAUAUUUUCAGAUUUUCUUCAUGUUCGAAAUUUAAGAAAUUUAAGAGGCAUCAUUCAAUGAUUUAAGUAAUUUGUUUAACAGAUCUAUAGAAGUUUGCUUUAAGAAAUCAAAGAAAUUCCUCAGGUUUUUGUAUUUUUUAAUAAUUUUGCACAAAAAAUAUAAAAGUUCUUACUAUUUGAUCAACAAAUCAUGCAGAGUUGUCUAAAAUGAUACAUAAAAAUGAAAUAAGAAGUUUCUUAUUUUAACCUGCAAUUCUUUAGCUCUUUCUACAAACAUGUCAAAUAAGCAAAUACCAUUUAGCUGCUCUUUGAUAAAAUAUCCCUGCCACAGACAUUAGAAUAAUGUUAAAUGUGAUCCUCGCUAACAAAACUUUGAAAUAUUUUACAAUAAAUACAUUUAAAUGUAAAUCUAUUCAUUAAAAAAGGGGGAUAAUGUAUGUUUAAUCAUAUUUUGAAGUAAGAUAUUUUAAUAUUUACUACAUAAUAAAUAUGUUGGUAUUUUUAUAUCUUUAUCAAACUCGAUAAAGCAUGAAAAGCAUAAUUGUACCUACUUAAUAAUCCAUCCCCUUAGUGCUUACAAUUUAUCCUAAAAAAUUGACAUCAACUGUUACCGUAGUUACCAUAGACUUGCUAGAAAAAUAUAUAAGUUACUAAAUUCGUGAAUUUCAAAACUAAAUCUUGUUUAUCAAAAUUAUCUGAAAUUGUGAAAGUGUUGAAAAUAUUGAAAGAUUUAUUGUUGUUGCAUCAUGUCUCAAAAUACAACACGGUGCUUUAUGCAUGUAAACAGUUGUCUUGGCAAUAAAUUUAUUAAAAAUC